GUGAUCUUGAACUGUUGGAAAUUAUUUCAUUUUCCCAUCUGUCUAUGGAAUCUGGAUGUUCAUUCAGUGAUAAGUAGUAAGUAGUUUUCCAGUGGCUACCU